rnacentral:rRNA from 1 species
AGCAUACGCCAAGGAUGUUUUCAUUAAUCAGGGAACGAAAGUUAGGGGAUCGAAGACGAUCAGAUACCGUCGUAGUCUUAACCAUAAACUAUGCCGACUAGGGAUCGGGCGGCGUUUCUAU